UACGUAGGGGGCUAGCGUUGUCCGGAAUCAUUGGGCGUAAAGCGCGUGUAGGCGGUCCGGUAAGUCCGCUGUGAAAGUCGGGGGCUCAACCCUCGGAUGCCGGUGGAUACUGUCGGGCUUGAGUACGGAAGAGGCGAGUGGAAUUCCUGGUGUAGCGGUGAAAUGCGUAGAGAUCAUGAGGAAGACCAGUGGCGAAGGCGGGUCUCUGGGACGGUACUGACGCUGAGACGCGAAAGCGUGGGGAGCGAACAGG
rnacentral:rRNA from 1 species